UCCAUUCGAAAAACCAAGAGCCAUUUGAUUCUUGAUAUAAAACCUAGACGUCUAAUAUAGUCAUAGAAAGAUCUGAUUUCAUGCAGUACUUUCAGAAUAGAAAAGCUGAAAUUAUUAUUAUAAUUUGCAGAUAAAUGGCAUUAGAAAGAAGAUUCAAGGAAGCACCUACCAAGCUCAACAUCUCUAUCUACUCCAUAUUCAACAACAAAACCAUGAUGUGAAUCUAGAGUUGAUCCGCCAACCUCAGGGAAGAAAACUACAAGGAAAAUCCACUGUAAGCAAUGAGUUCUUUUACAUAAUAUGAAAAUCAUUUUGUUCUUUUCUUAUUUCUAACUGAAUAGAGAUAUAUUACUUCUAGACAUUGGGCGUAUAUAUUCAUCCAUCAACUUCUGAAGCAUUGUUUGUAGGCCAAAGUCAUCAAGAACAGCACCAUACUUGUUCAUUGUGUUUGGGCGCAUUAUUCUGAAUUUUGUGUCAUGAACCCAUCUUUCAAAGUUUUCUACCUAAGCAAUCAGAACUUGAUAAGAAAGUUUGCAAACUAAAAUACAAGCAAAAUGGUACUAUUGACAUAAUAAAUGACAAGAAGAACAAGACGAUACCUCAGACAUCAACAUUUCGCAGAAAUGUGGCUGAAGCAUUUCAAAUACAUAUAUUCCUGGUCUGGGUUCAGCCAAUAUAUUUCUAAAACUCUGUUCUGUAUUUUCGUUGACUGCUUUGAGAAAUGAGGGCACAAAGAAGUUUUCAGCAUGCAUUGAAUACAACUCCCUAUGUAGAGGCUGCAAAAAGGAGGAAACAAUCACAAAAGAAAACAGCAUAAAGAAACAAAGGAAUUUAAGGGCUGUACCCAAGCUGCUGGGCUCGGUUUGAAGUUGAGCUCAACUCAUUUACAAUUCAUAGUUAAAAGUAAAAAACCAUAGCUCUUUUACAAGCUCAAGCUCGGCUCAUCUAUUAAACAAGCUCAAAAAGUAUACUCUGAGAUCGGCUUUUUAAGCUUAUCAAACGAGCUUUUUCCAAACCGAGUCUCAAGUAGCUCACAAGUGGCUUAGCUCAUUUACAGCCCAAUGCUAUGACUUAUAAGCAUAAUAUGAAUAUCCAAAUAUUUUAUAUACCGCAAUUCAUGAUUUAGUCUCAUAUUAACAGAAUGUAAUUCUCACUUUUCACCAUUUUAGCUAUAAUAAUAUACAUCCAUUAAAGGAAAUGACAGUCAUUGGGAAUAUCAACAAUAUGAGUUCAAUCAAGACUUUCAAAGUAUAGAGGUAAAAAUAUGUAUAAACAGUAAGCUGAUAAGCAGAAAGAAGAGGUAUAUCUAAAAAUUUGUCCUAGUGGGAGCAAUAAAUAGAAAAACAAAAACUUUAAAUGA